GCAACAGACAGAACAAAGUGAAUUACUAAGAAAAUAAAAUAAAACAUGCAAGUCUAAGCCUAAAACAGUAAUGAAACUGAAUACAGAUGAAAUCUCACCCUCAGAGAUGUUUCAAUAAGUUUCUUUCACAGACUGGACACCUUUCCAGUCUGGGCACAAUCCUUUCCCCUGGUACAGCCCUUGUUCCUGCUCAGGCGGUAGUUAGGGGAUUUCUCAUGAUGGCUGCCUCCUUUGUUCUCUUCCACCCAUUUAUAUAUCUUUUGCAUAAGGCAGGAAUCCUUUGUCCCUCUCUGGGUUCCCACUCCUCCUUCUCAAUGGAAAAGCACCAGGUAAAAGAUGGAUUCCAGUUCAGCUGACAUGGUCACAUGUCACUGUAAAGACUUCAUAACCCAUUUGCCAGCACACACAUAUACAGGAAGAUUAACAAGUAAAACAGAGCCAUCUACAGUCAAUUGUCCUGGCUGAGGGGAGCCCUCAAGAUUCCAAACCACCGUUAAUGGCCCACUCUUUGCAUAAUUACAAUAGGCCCUCAGAGUUAUAUUUCAUAUUUCUAGUUUCACAUACAAGAGUGAUACAUUUAUACAAAUAGGAUGACCACAUUCAGUAGAUUAUAAACUUCAUAAUGAUACUUUACAAGAGACCUUUUACAUGAAGCAUAUUCCAGUUACAUUAUAUUCACACUCACUAGCAUAUUUUUACAAAAUUAUAUAGAGUGCAACGUCGCACCAACCUAAACCUCCCUUGCUGCAAUUUAAGCCCAUUGCUUCUUGUCCUAUCCUCAGAGGUUAAGGAGAACAAUUCUUCUUCCUCCUCCUUGUAACAACCAUUUAUGUACUUUAAAAUGGUUAUCGCGUUUCAGUCUUCCCUCAUAAUUCAUGUUUUCUAGACCCUUCAUCAUUUUUGUUGCUCUUUGCUGGACUUUCUCCAGUUUGUCCACAUCUUUCCUGAAAUGUGACGCCCAGAACUGAACACAAUACUCCAGUUGAGGCCUAAUCCGCGCAGAGUAGAGCAGAAGAAUUACUUCUCGUGUCUUGCUUAUGACGCUCCUGCUAAUACAUCUCAGUAUUUCGUUCCCCUUUUUUUGCAGCAGUGUUACACAGUUGACUCAUAUUUAGCUUGUGGUCCACUAUGACUCCCCAGAUCUCUUUCCACAAUACUCCUUCCUAGGAAGUCAUUUCCAAUUUUGUGUGCGUGCAACUGAUUGUUCCUUCCUAAGUGAAGCACUUUGCACUUGUCUGUAUUUAAUUUCAUCCUAUUUUCUUCCAACCAUUUCUCCAGUUUAUCCAGAUAAUUUUGAAUUUUAACGCUAUCUUCCAAAGCACUUGCAACCCCUCCCAGCUUGGUAUCAUCCACAAACUUUGUAAGUGUAAUCUCUAUGCCAUUAUCUAAAUCAUUGAUGAAGAUAUUGAAUAGAAAUGUAUCCAGAACUGAUUCCUGCAGGACCCCACUCAUUAUGCCCUUCCUGCAUGACUGUGAACCACUGAGAACUGCUCUCUGGGAAUGGUUUUUCAACCAGUUUUGUACCUAACUUAUUGUAGCUCCAUCUAGGUUGCACUUCCCUGGUUUGAUUCUGAGAAGCUCACAUGACACAGUAUCAAAAACUUUACUAAAGUCAAGAUAUACCACGUUGCCCACUUUCUCCCAUCCACAAGGCUUGUUACCCUGUCAAAGAAAGCUAUCAGGUUGGUUUGACAUGAUUUGUUCUUGACAAAUCUAUGCUGAUUGUUACUUAUCACCUUAUUUUCUUCUAGAUGUUUGCAAACUGAGUGCUUAAUUAUUUGCCUCAUUAUCUUUCCUGGCACAGAAGUUAACCUGACCGGUCUGUAAUUCCCUGGGUUGUCCUUAUUUCUCUUUUUAUAGUUGGGCACUAUAUUUGCCUUUUUCCAGUCUUCUGAAAUCUCUCCCAUCUUCCAUGACUUUUCAAAGACAAUCGCUAAUGGCUCAGAUAUCUCCUCAGUCAGCUCCUUGAGUAUUCUAAGGUGCAUUUCAUCAGGCCCUGGUGACUUGAAGACAUCUAAUUUGUCUAAGUAAUUCUUAACUUGAUCUUUUCCUAUUUUUGCCUCUAAUCCUACCUCAUUUUCAUUGGCAUUCACUAUGUUAGACGUCCAAUCACCACCAACCUCCUUGGUGAAAACUGAAACAAAGACGUCAUUAAGCACCUCUGCCAUUUCCACAUUUUCUGUUACUGUACGCUGACUUCCCUCUAAGUACAUUGCCUUUUAAAAUAGAUCAGCAAGCUGAGACAGCAGCUGCUGCCAGCAAGCUCCCUUAGUCCUGAGCCCUGUCAUGUCCCCCUUGCUCUGUGGAGAUGGGGUAAAGGAGCAGAGGGCAGGAGACGUGCUGAUAUUUGCGCACACGCACACACACACACACACACACACUGCACAGCAAGCAGGAGGCUCCCAGAAGCAGCUCUAAGGCAGAGGGCAGGAGCAGCACACAGCAGUAGGGGGAAUCAAUAGCCUGCUGGGCAGCUGCUGCACAGGGAACUUAGGGGAGCUGAUAGGGGGGCUGCCGGCCCACCCUGGUUCCAAGCCCCCACCAGCUAGCUGCAACAGGCAGCGGCGUGAGGGGGGAACUGGAGGGAGAGGGGAGAGAUUCAGGCCUCUGUAACCCACAUUUGACGUGUCCAGCUUGGCCUGCCCUGGUUCCGACAGCUGCCUUUCAGCCGCAGGCAGGUAACGCUGACCCCAAUGGAAGUGUCAGUGGGGCCCCACUGAAGCUAAAGGCCCCGUUUGUUCCUGAUGCUCCAUUGGCCUGAUUCUCCCCCGCUGCCCUGCACCUUGUGUCAUCCCUCACACAUGUAUAUAGCGAAAAGACGGAGGGGACAGCACCAUGGUGCACACGGAGCGGGGAACCAGGCCAGAGACCUUGCAAACCCCACAGGACAGCAACCCAGAAAUGAGCUGGGCAGGACAUAUAACCACAGGAAUUUGGAGGGAAGAGAAACUGCUGGCAAAGGGCAGAAGCUUCCUGUACUGGCGAUGAGAGGAUCAUGAGUGUAGUGGAACCGGGUGUGAGUAAGUAGCUGUAUGAAGACAGAGAACCUCCACUGCCACGUCCUCCCUGCGCCAAGAGUUAGACCCGCUGGCGAAGUGCCCCAGAGACCCGCGGCAGGGGCCCCCUGCCACUGAAUUGCCAGCGAAGACUGCCCUGGGACCCGCCGCCUGAAUCCUCUGGGCAGCCUUGAGUAUGUUAGACAAUGACGAAUGAGAUGUUGCUUAUUUACUACAUAAUUAACUUUUUGUUGGUGACGUGCCAAGCUGCAUUAGGAUGGUAAGUGGAAUUUAAUUAAAUAAAGCUGCAGAUAACAUUUCUUUAUUAAACAAUCUUGCACCCAGUAGCAUAGCCCCUGGGUCCCUCAGAGGAUCCAGGCCUUUAUACCGUCCAUGACCUAUUGUGCCAUAUGUAUAAAGCUCGACAUGGAAAGUUUGAUGUUUGUCCCCUGAUAUUUUCUUUAUAUAGAAAAGCAGCCUUCAACUCAAAGUUUUUGAUAUAGGCUUAUGGAUUCAGCAUAUUGCUUUUUAAAUUAAAUCUUUUAAGAGAUUAUAAUACGGGAACUGGCUGGGCAGAGACACUGAGGCAUGGCCAGACGGGGCCACACUUUCAAUGGUGGAUGGAACUGAUCAAACUCCCAUGUCUGGACACCGCAGGAAACUGAUUGCCUCAAUGAGCUCCGAUGGAUCAGGUACCCAGUUUGUUCCUGCUACUUGUACUUUGUGUGCCUGGAUGUGGCCAGAGGUCUCGAAGUGGGCAGGGGCUGUUACCCCACUGAAAUCCUGGACUCCCGUCUCCCUCUGGUCCGCUUCACUUUUGCAUUCCCACUGUGUGAGAGGCACACGCCCGAAACCAUUGCACGGAGGCAGGGCCCUGGGUGUGCAUGAAAAUGAACCCGUGUCUGGGGGUGGCAGGUAAUGCCGUCUGUUCCUGCUGUUUUUGCCCGCGCAGCUGCUGUGCCUGCCAAGUGUGAAGAGGGGAUGUUGAGAUCUCCAACUGUCACAGCUGCUGGAGCUGGGAGCCUCAUCUCCCAUGGGGGCGGCCAGGGGUCAUUCCCCUGAGUAACACUGUGUCUGUGUCUCACGUCACUAACUGAAAUCCCCUCUUUGUCCUGAGAAUCAAGACUUCAAAGGAAACUUGUUCCUUCAGACAAGGAGGGUCAAGAAUUGCAGGCAGUCUAGGAGAUCAGACCCUCUGUGUGAACCCUGAAGCAAGGCCAAGAGAGGCCAGUCCUUAGUCUGGGGGCAAACUAUGGCCCUCGAGCUCCUGCUGGGGAGCGGGUCCAGGACUUGCCCUGCUCCACAUGUGCUGUGGCUCCACAUGGCUCCCAGAAGCAGCAGCACGUCCCCCCUUCAGACUCUCCGCACAGAGGCUCCUGGAGGGGGGCGGCAGGGAGGAGAUUUAGAUCUUCCGUUGUACAUCUGACACCUUUGAACCUCUGCCUUCAUGUAAUUGCACUUGGAGCUAGAGAAAGAGCAUGAGAGAACCCAGUGGGUCUGUCCCAGAAUGGCUCCCUUUGGGAUCUCCCAGUGACUCUUCGGUUAAAUGCUGUAAACCUGGUUGUAUUGUAGCUGCAAAUAGAAAAACCAAACCCCUUGUUUCUCCAACUCAGCGCACCCUGGGAAUCACAGUAGAUAUUUGCUGACAGCGGCUCAGGCACUGAUACCGUGAAUAAGUCUGCUCCCCAGAAGCACUCAUGGCAUUGAAUCUUUCAGGCCCUGGGCCUAACAGGCUCAGGAAAUGUGCUUCCCAUCAAGUCCUAGUCCCAGCUACCGUCACAGUUUUGAUCAUCAUCAUCGUUACUCUAGCAGCACUUUUAGCAGUGGAAAAAUCCAAACCAUCUCUGGCUGCUCCGGGCCCUCCUGCUGGGCCCUGCUGCCCGGACGGCUGGAUCGGGUACCGAGGGAAAUGCUACUAUUUCUCAGAGACUGAAGGGACCUGGACCUACAGCCAGAGCCAGUGCUUUGCACUCAAUGCCUCCCUGGCUAGGAUCGACAGUGAGCAGGAAAAGGAUUUCCUGUUGUGUUAUAAGGGCUUCCUCGACCGUUGGAUCGGCCUCCAGAGGGAGCCAGGCCUGCCCUGGAGAUGGCCCAAUGGCAUCGAAUUCAACAACUGGUUUCCGAUAAGAGGAGGCGGCGACUGUGCUUUUCUGAUGGAUGAGGGCUGGUUCGGCAGCUCGCGCUGCAGCACAGAGAGACGCUGGAUCUGCAGCAAACCCAAUGCCUGUACAAUGGGGAAGGACGUAUUGUGGAGUCAAAACUUGGAGACUCUUAGAAACUAGGCUUGGAAAAGCUUUAUUGGGGACACACCUUCCACUGCCUGAAGAUGGAGGAGGCUAGGUCUGUCAGAGAGGCUGGGAGGGGAGAACAUGCAACUGAAUGGGAAGCACAGAGGAGGCCAGAUGGGCUGGGAACUCACCUGCCAGAGCUACCCCCAAACCAAUGAUGAUGACGACCAGACCUGCAGCUCUGCCCCAUACUAAUGGUUUCCUGAAGGGACAGACACAACCUGAAAGAGAAGUCAUGAAUGCCCGCAGGGCUGCUCCACGGCAGGGGAUCGGGGAGCCAACGUCAGUAACCAGCAGCAUGGGAGCAGCCACAGACCAGGAGUGACACAUUGCCACCCAGAACUGUUCAUCCACAACCCUCCGCUGCACAUAGAAAAGGGCGGUUACAAGUUCAGGCUGGGUAACUGCUGACAGGAGCCCACUGGGGCAGUCAGGGCCUUGCUACCUGGGCAAACGC